UACAUGUGGGGCAAGCGUUGUUCGGAAUCACUGGGCAUAAAGGGUAGCGUAGGCGGUGGUGCACGUCCUGGGUGAAAUCCUUCGGCCCAACCGGAGGUCUGCCUGGGAUACGGCACUACUUGAGUGCGUGAGGGGUGACUGGAACGCGUGGUGUAGCGGUGAAAUGCGUAGAUAUCGCGCGGAAGGCCAACGGCGAAGGCAAGUCACUGGUACGCAACUGACGCUGAGUGCACGAAAAGCGUGGGGGAGCAAAA
rnacentral:rRNA from 1 species